AUUGAACGCUGGCGGCAGGCCUAACACAUGCAAGUCGAGCGGAUGAAGGGAGCUUGCUCCUGGAUUCAGCGGCGGACGGGUGAGUAAUGCCUAGGAAUCUGCCUGGUAGUGGGGGAUAACGUCCGGAAACGGGCGCUAAUACCGCAUACGUCCUGAGGGAGAAAGUGGGGGAUCUUCGGACCUCACGCUAUCAGAUGAGCCUAGGUCGGAUUAGCUAGUUGGUGGGGUAAAGGCCUACCAAGGCGACGAUCCGUAACUGGUCUGAGAGGAUGAUCAGUCACACUGGAACUGAGACACGGUCCAGACUACUACGGGAGGCAGCAGUGGGGAAUAUUGGACAAUGGGCGAAAGCCUGAUCCAGCCAUGCCGCGUGUGUGAAGAAGGUCUUCGGAUUGUAAAGCACUUUAAGUUGGGAGGAAGGGCAGUAAGUUAAUACCUUGCUGUUUUGACGUUACCCACAGAAUAAGCACCGGCUAACUUCGUG
rnacentral:rRNA from 1 species